UACGGAGGGUGCAAGCGUUGUCCGGAUUUACUGGGUUUAAAGGGUCCGUAGGCGGAUUUUUAAGUCAGUGGUGAAAGCCUGCAGCUUAACUGUAGAACUGCCAUUGAUACUGAAAGUCUUGAGUGUAGUUGAGGUAGGCGGAAUUUAUGAUGUAGCGGUGAAAUGCAUAGAUAUCAUAAAGAACACCAAUUGCGAAGGCAGCUUACUAAACUAUUACUGACGCUCAGGGACGAAAGCGUGGGGAGCGAACAGG
rnacentral:rRNA from 1 species